AUGCAAGACAGUUGCGUAGGUACACACAUGGCAGUGUGCUUUGCUUUUCUUCUCCAGUUUGCUGAGGAUGAUGUUUUCCAGAUUCAUCCAUGUCCCUACAAACGACACGAACUCAUCAUUUCUGAUUGCUGCAUAAUAUUCCAUGGUGUAUAUGUGCCACAUUUUUCCAAUCCAGUCUAUUAUCAAUGGGCAUUUGGGUUGAUUCCAGGUCUUUGCUAUUGUAAACAGUGCUGCAAUGAACAUUCGUGUACAUGUGUCCUUAUAGUAGAACGAUUUAUAGUCUUUUGGAUAUAUACCCAGUAAUGGGAUUGCUGGGUCAAAUGGAAUUUCUAUUUCUAAGGCCUUGAGGAAUCGCCACACCGUCUUCCACAAUGGUUGAACUAAUUUACACUCCCACCAACAGUGUAAAAGUGUUCCUUUUUCUCCACAUCCUCUCCAGCAUCUGUUGUCUCCAGAUUUUUUAAUGAUCGCCAUUCUAACUGGCGUGAGAUGGUAUCUCAAUGUGGUUUUGAUUUGCAUCUCUCUGAUGACCAGUGACGACGAGCAUUUUUUCAUAUGAUUGUUGGCCUCAUAUAUGUCUUCUUUCGUAAAGUAUCUAUUCAUAUCCUUUGCCCACUUUUGAAUGGGCUUGUUUGUUUUUUUCCUGUAAAUCUGCUUGAGUUGUUUGUAAAUUCUGAAUAUCAGCCCUUUGUCAGAUGGGUAGACUGCGAAAAUUUUUUCCCAUUCUGUUGGUUGCCGAUCCACUCUAGUGACUGUUUCUUUUGCCGUGCAGAAGCUGUGGAGUUUCAUUAGGUCCCAUUUGUCUAUUUUGGCUUUUGUUGCCAAUGCUCUUGGUGUUUUGUUCAUGAAGUCCUUGCCUACUCCUAUGUCCUGGAUAGUUUUGCCUAGAUUUCCUUCUAGGGUUUUUAUGGUGCCAGGUCUUAUGUUUAAGUCUUUAAUCCAUCUGGAGUUAAUUUUAGUGUAAGGUGUCAGGAAGGGGUCCAGUUUCUGCUUUCUGCACACGGCUAGCCAGUUUUCCCAACACCAUUUGUUAAACAUGGAAUCCUUGCCCCAUUGCUUGUUUUUGUCAGGUUUAUCAAAGAUUGUAUAGUUGUAUGUAUGUUGUGUUGCCUCCGGUGCCUCUGUUUUGUUCCAUUGGUCUAUAUCUCUGUUUUGGUACCAGUACCAUGCUGUUUUGAUUACUGUAGCCUUGUAGUAUAGUUUGAAAUCCGGUAGUGUGAUGCCCCCCGCUGUGUUCUUUUUGCUUAGAAUUGACUUGGCUAUGCGGGCUCUCUUUUGGUUCCAUAUGAAGUUCGUGGUGGUUUUUUCCAGUUCUGUGAAGAAAGUCAAUGGUAGCUUGAUGGGGAUAGCGUUGAUUCUGUAAAUUACUUUGGGCAGUAUAGCCAUUUUCACGAUAUUAAUUCUUCCUAACCAUGAACAUGGAAUGUUUCUCCAUCUGUUUGUGUCCUCUCUGAUUUCGUUGAGCAGUGGUUUGUAGUUCUCCUUGAAGAGGUCCCUUACGUUCCUUGUGAGUUGUAUUCCAAGGUAUUUUAUUCUU
rnacentral:lncRNA from 1 species